rnacentral:rRNA from 1 species
UACGUAGGGGGCGAGCGUUGUCCGGAUUUAUUGGGCGUAAAGAGCUCGUAGGCGGCUUAGCAAGUCGGGUGUGAAAACUCCAGGCUCAACCUGGAGACGCCACUCGAGACUGCUAUGGCUAGAGUCCGGUAGGGGACCACGGAAUUCCUGGUGUAGCGGUGAAAUGCGCAGAUAUCAGGAGGAACACCCGGUGGCGAAGGCGGUGGUCUGGGCCGGCACUGACGCUGAGGCGCGAAAGCCAGGGGAGCAAACGGG